rnacentral:rRNA from 1 species
AGCAGCCGCGGUAAUUCCAGCUCCAAUAGCGUAUAUUAAAGUUGUUGCAGUUAAAAAGCUCGUAGUUGAAUUUCGGGAUCAAAUUGUCGGUCGUGCCUCGGUACGUACUGGUAUUAUUGGUCCCUCCCUUCUGACGAACCACGAUGUCAUUAAUUUGGUGUCAUGGGAAAUCAGGACUGUUACUUUGAAAAAUUAGAGUGUUUAAAGCAGGCUCGCGCUUGAAUACAUUAGCAUGGAAUAAUGAAAUAGGACGUUUGAUUCUAUUUUGUUGGUUUCUAGGAUCGACGUAAUGAUUAAUAGGGAUAGUUGGGGGCAUUAGUAUUCAAUUGUCAGAGGUGAAAUUCUUGGAUUUAUUGAAGACUAACUACUGCGAAAGCAUUUGCCAAGGAUGUUUUCAUUAAUCAAGAACGAAAGUUAGGGGAUCGAAGACGAUCAGAUACCGUCGUAGUCUUAACCAUAAACUAU